AUCCAGCUGAUGAGUUCUAAAUGGAACGAAACAGUAGUCCUAGAU
rnacentral:hammerhead_ribozyme from 1 species